AUCAUGAUGUCGAUGCCAGCUCUGGUGUACGUCUUAGGACUCUCCGGGGCGGCGCAUAUCAUGAACUAUUAUCAGGAAGCG
rfam:Pirellula staleyi DSM 6068, complete genome.